ACACAUGCAGUCGAGCGGCAGCACGGGUACUUGUACCUGGUGGCGAGCGGCGGACGGGUGAGUAAUGCCUAGGAAUCUGCCUAGUAGUGGGGGAUAACGUCCGGAAACGGGCGCUAAUACCGCAUACGUCCUACGGGAGAAAGUGGGGGAUCUUCGGACCUCACGCUAUUAGAUGAGCCUAGGUCGGAUUAGCUAGUUGGUGAGGUAAUGGCUCACCAAGGCGACGAUCCGUAACUGGUCUGAGAGGAUGAUCAGUCACACUGGAACUGAGACACGGUCCAGACUCCUACGGGAGGCAGCAGUGGGGAAUAUUGGACAAUGGGCGAAAGCCUGAUCCAGCCAUGCCGCGUGUGUGAAGAAGGUCUUCGGAUUGUAAAGCACUUUAAGUUGGGAGGAAGGGCAGUUACCUAAUACGUGAUUGUUUCGACGUUACCGACAGAAUAAGCACCGGCUAACUCUGUGCCAGCAGCCGCGGUAAUACAGAGGGUGCAAGCGUUAAUCGGAAUUACUGGGCGUAAAGCGCGCGUAGGUGGUUUGUUAAGUUGGAUGUGAAAGCCCCGGGCUCAACCUGGGAACUGCAUCCAAAACUGGCAAGCUAGAGUAUGGUAGAGGGUGGUGGAAUUUCCUGUGUAGCGGUGAAAUGCGUAGAUAUAGGAAGGAACACCAGUGGCGAAAGCGACCACCUGGACUGAUACUGACACUGAGUGCGAAAGCGUGGGGAGCAAACAGGA
rnacentral:rRNA from 1 species